AUUGAACGCUGGCGGCAUGCUUUACACAUGCAAGUCGAACGGUAACAGGUUAAGCUGACGAGUGGCGAACGGGUGAGUAAUGCAUCGGAACGUGCCCGAUCGUGGGGGAUAACGCAGCGAAAGCUGCGCUAAUACCGCAUACGAUCUGAGGAUGAAAGCGGGGGACCGUAAGGCCUCGCGCGAUCGGAGCGGCCGAUGUCAGAUUAGGUAGGUGGUGGGGUAAAGGCUCACCAAGCCGACGAUCUGUAGCUGGUCUGAGAGGACGACCAGCCACACUGGGACUGAGACACGGCCCAGACUCCUACGGGAGGCAGCAGUGGGGAAUUUUGGACAAUGGGCGCAAGCCUGAUCCAGCAAUGCCGCGUGCAGGAAGAAGGCCUUCGGGUUGUAAACCGCUUUUGUCAGGGAAGAAAAGGUUCUGGUUAAUACCUGGGACUCAUGACGGUACCUGAAGAAUAAGCACCGGCUAACUACGUGCCAGCCGCCGCCGUAACAC
rnacentral:rRNA from 1 species